UAACCCUGCGUUCGUUGGACGCUCACUUUCCCAUCGAUCUCAAAAGGACCUCUAGGUCAGAAGGGAGGAGAGCUCAGCCUGCUGAUGGCAGAGUGUUUGUGGGAGGAUGUAUCUGCAGUUUCUGGAAACAUGGUACUUCGCUCUGCCUUCAGCCAAGUAUUUUGGUGGGAAAACCAAGGACUUUGGAUAAGCCAGGUGCAAGUUUGGAUGUCACCUCUUCCUAACUGUGACUGCCCAGAAGCCAGGAACAGCAAUAUACUGCCUCAGGUCCUUCGUGUUAAUGCUCUGGGCAUGACUACAGAAUGGAUGAAGCAUGGCCAUUUUGGUUUUAUGGCUGAACGGCACAGAAGUAAAACUGAGGCCUGGGCUCUCCCAAACAGAUAUUAGUGUUGCACCUGUGUUG